GCCGGGCAUGGUGGCGCAUGCCUGUAAUCCCAGCAACUAGGGAGGCUGAGGCAGGAGAAUUGCUUGAACCUGGGGUGUGGAGGUUGCAGUGAGCCGAGAUUGUGCCAUUGCACUCCAGCCUGGGUGACAGAGCAAGACUCUGUCUCAA
ensembl:misc_RNA Metazoa_SRP Metazoan signal recognition particle RNA